rnacentral:rRNA from 1 species
UACAGGGGGGGCAAGCGUUAUUCGGAAUUAUUGGGCGUAAAGGGCGCGUAGGCGGCUUGGCAAGUGGAAGGUGAAAUCCCUCGGCUUAACCGAGGAACUGCCCUCCAAACUGCUUCGCUUGAGACCGGGAGAGGUGAGUGGAAUUCCCAGUGUAGCGGUGAAAUGCGUAGAUAUUGGGAGGAACACCAGUGGCGAAGGCGGCUCACUGGACCGGUACUGACGCUGAUGCGCGAAAGCGUGGGGAGCAAACGGG